GGUUAAGCGACUAAGCGUACACGGUGGAUGCCCUGGCAGUCAGAGGCGAUGAAGGACGUGCUAAUCUGCGAUAAGCGCCGGUAAGGUGAUAUGAACCGUUAUAACCGGCGAUUUCCGAAUGGGGAAACCCAGUGUGACUCGUCACACUAUCAUUAACUGAAUCCAUAGGUUAAUGAGGCGAACCGGGGGAACUGAAACAUCUAAGUACCCCGAGGAAAAGAAAUCAACCGAGAUUCCCCCAGUAGCGGCGAGCGAACGGGGAGGAGCCCAGAGCCUGAAUCAGCAUGUGUGUUAGUGGAAGCGUCUGGAAAGGCGCGCGAUACAGGGUGACAGCCCCGUACACAAAAGCGCAUGUGCUGUGAGCUCGAUGAGUAGGGCGGGACACGUGGUAUCCUGUCUGAAUAUGGGGGGACCAUCCUCCAAGGCUAAAUACUCCUGACUGACCGAUAGUGAACCAGUACCGUGAGGGAAAGGCGAAAAGAACCCCGGCGAGGGGAGUGAAAAAGAACCUGAAACCGUGUACGUACAAGCAGUGGGAGCACAGGUUUACCUGUGUGACUGCGUACCUUUUGUAUAAUGGGUCAGCGACUUAUAUUCUGUAGCAAGGUUAACCGAAUAGGGGAGCCGGAGGGAAACCGAGUCUUAAUUGGGCGUUAAGUUGCAGGGUAUAGACCCGAAACCCGGUGAUCUAGCCAUGGGCAGGUUGAAGGUUGGGUAACACUAACUGGAGGACCGAACCGACUAAUGUUGAAAAAUUAGCGGAUGACCUGUGGCUGGGGGUGAAAGGCCAAUCAAACCGGGAGAUAGCUGGUUCUCCCCGAAAGCUAUUUAGGUAGCGCCUCGUGAAUUCAUCUCCGGGGGUAGAGCACUGUUUCGGCUAGGGGGCCAUCCCGGCUUACCAACCCGAUGCAAACUGCGAAUACCGGAGAAUGUUAUCACGGGAGACACACGGCGGGUGCUAACGUCCGUCGUGAAGAGGGAAACAACCCAGACCGCCAGCUAAGGUCCCAAAGUCAUGGUUAAGUGGGAAACGAUGUGGGAAGGCCCAGACAGCCAGGAUGUUGGCUUAGAAGCAGCCAUCAUUUAAAGAAAGCGUAAUAGCUCACUGGUCGAGUCGGCCUGCGCGGAAGAUGUAACGGGGCUAAACCAUGCACCGAAGCUGCGGCAGCGACACUGUGUGUUGUUGGGUAGGGGAGCGUUCUGUAAGCCUGUGAAGGUGGCCUGUGAGGGUUGCUGGAGGUAUCAGAAGUGCGAAUGCUGACAUAAGUAACGAUAAAGCGGGUGAAAAGCCCGCUCGCCGGAAGACCAAGGGUUCCUGUCCAACGUUAAUCGGGGCAGGGUGAGUCGACCCCUAAGGCGAGGCCGAAAGGCGUAGUCGAUGGGAAACGGGUUAAUAUUCCCGUACUUGGUGUUACUGCGAAGGGGGGACGGAGAAGGCUAUGUUGGCCGGGCGACGGUUGUCCCGGUUUAAGCGUGUAGGCUGGUUUUCCAGGCAAAUCCGGAAAAUCAAGGCUGAGGCGUGAUGACGAGGCACUACGGUGCUGAAGCAACAAAUGCCCUGCUUCCAGGAAAAGCCUCUAAGCAUCAGGUAACAUCAAAUCGUACCCCAAACCGACACAGGUGGUCAGGUAGAGAAUACCAAGGCGCUUGAGAGAACUCGGGUGAAGGAACUAGGCAAAAUGGUGCCGUAACUUCGGGAGAAGGCACGCUGACACGUAGGUGAAGUGAUUUACUCAUGGAGCUGAAGUCAGUCGAAGAUACCAGCUGGCUGCAACUGUUUAUUAAAAACACAGCACUGUGCAAACACGAAAGUGGACGUAUACGGUGUGACGCCUGCCCGGUGCCGGAAGGUUAAUUGAUGGGGUCAGCGCAAGCGAAGCUCCUGAUCGAAGCCCCGGUAAACGGCGGCCGUAACUAUAACGGUCCUAAGGUAGCGAAAUUCCUUGUCGGGUAAGUUCCGACCUGCACGAAUGGCGUAAUGAUGGCCAGGCUGUCUCCACCCGAGACUCAGUGAAAUUGAACUCGCUGUGAAGAUGCAGUGUACCCGCGGCAAGACGGAAAGACCCCGUGAACCUUUACUAUAGCUUGACACUGAACAUUGAGCCUUGAUGUGUAGGAUAGGUGGGAGGCUUUGAAGUGUGGACGCCAGUCUGCAUGGAGCCGACCUUGAAAUACCACCCUUUAAUGUUUGAUGUUCUAACGUGGACCCGUAAUCCGGGUUGCGGACAGUGUCUGGUGGGUAGUUUGACUGGGGCGGUCUCCUCCUAAAGAGUAACGGAGGAGCACGAAGGUUGGCUAAUCCUGGUCGGACAUCAGGAGGUUAGUGCAAUGGCAUAAGCCAGCUUGACUGCGAGCGUGACGGCGCGAGCAGGUGCGAAAGCAGGUCAUAGUGAUCCGGUGGUUCUGAAUGGAAGGGCCAUCGCUCAACGGAUAAAAGGUACUCCGGGGAUAACAGGCUGAUACCGCCCAAGAGUUCAUAUCGACGGCGGUGUUUGGCACCUCGAUGUCGGCUCAUCACAUCCUGGGGCUGAAGUAGGUCCCAAGGGUAUGGCUGUUCGCCAUUUAAAGUGGUACGCGAGCUGGGUUUAGAACGUCGUGAGACAGUUCGGUCCCUAUCUGCCGUGGGCGCUGGAGAACUGAGGGGGGCUGCUCCUAGUACGAGAGGACCGGAGUGGACGCAUCACUGGUGUUCGGGUUGUCAUGCCAAUGGCACUGCCCGGUAGCUAAAUGCGGAAGAGAUAAGUGCUGAAAGCAUCUAAGCACGAAACUUGCCCCGAGAUGAGUUCUCCCUGAGACUUAGAGUCUCCUGAAGGAACGUUGAAGACGACGACGUUGAUAGGCCGGGUGUGUAAGCGCAGCGAUGCGUUGAGCUAACCGGUACUAAUGAACCGUGAGGCUUAACCUU
rnacentral:rRNA from 1 species